rnacentral:rRNA from 1 species
UACGGAGGGUGCAAGCAUUAAUCGGAUUUAUUGGGCGUAAAGGGCGCGUAGGCGGGAACGUAAGUCAGACGUGAAAUCCCGGGGCUCAACCCCGGAACAGCAUUUGAAACUGCGUUUCUAGAGGGUAGGCGGAGAAAACGGAAUUCCACAAGUAGCGGUGAAAUGCGUAGAUAUGUGGAAGAACACCGGUGGCGAAGGCGGUUUUCUAGCUUACUCCUGACGCUGAAGCGCGAAAGCAAGGGGAUCAAACAGG